UCUUGUAAUUGAUGAUCAUUAAUCUAGCCUUGUAACUGAUGAUUUCACCCUGUUAGCUAGUCAGAGAACUUCCAGGCUGUUCUGUCUUGCCUUUGUACCUCUUGCUUAUACAACACAUAAAAGUACUAGCCCACCAACACUCGCCACCUGGCUUUUUGUGGGCAAUGAUCCCAGCCACAACCACUGGUGUAAAGUAAAGCUGUUCACUGCCUCCAAAUCCUGAGUGUCAUUUCAGUGUUUCUGCUUGCCGUAGCAACAGAAGUGCUUAGUGUCUCCUAAGAAAUACCAAGGACCUGCUUAUGAGGCUAAUUAUAAAGUUACAGCUCCCAAGGACGCUUUACUGCAAAUAGCUGUUUGUAUCACAUGACUCUUCUGCUAAUGUGGUUGGUUAAAGUAUAGUUUUUAAUGGGCUGUCUGGUUAGUUUUGUGUUAGAUGAGUGAAGAUGCCAGACAUCUGGAUUUUAAGGUUUCACAACAAGAAGAUUAAUUGCUCUUUAAAGUCAUCAGCAGUUCUCUUCUGCCAUGGGUCUUUGCCAUGCUUCCCUGGCUUGGAAACACCCCACUGUGGACUGAAACCUCUACAAACG